UAAGGAAUAUUGGUCAAUGGACGCAAGUCUGAACCAGCCAUGCCGCGUGAAGGAUGAAGGUCCUCUGGAUUGUAAACUUCUUUUAUCUGGGACGAAAACGGGAUUUUUAUCUCAAUUGACGGUACCAGAGGAAUAAGCACCGGCUAACUCCGUGCCAGCAGCCGCGGUAAUACGGAGGGUGCGAGCGUUAUCCGGAUUUACUGGGUUUAAAGGGUGCGUAGGCGGACUAAUAAGUCAGUGGUGAAAGCCUGCAGCUUAACUGCAGAAUUGCCAGUGAUACUGUUAGUCUUGAGUACAGUUGGGGUAGGCGGAAUGUGUCAUGUAGCGGUGAGAUGCUUAGAUAUGACAUAGAACACCAAUUGCGAAGGCAGCUUACUACACAAUCAUUGACACUGAUGCACGAAAGCGUGGGUAGCGAACA
rnacentral:rRNA from 1 species